GAUAGAAAGAGAGAGAUAAUGAUAGAGAUAGAUUAAACAAAGUGGUGGAGCGAGCUAGAGAAAGAACAGAGAGAGAGAGAGAGCGGUGCUAAAGUUAGAUAAACAAAGGGGUGGAGCGAGCUAAAGGAAGAACAGAGAGAAAGAGCAGUGCUAAAAUUAGAU